rnacentral:tRNA from 1 species
GGAGAGGUGGCUGAGUGGCUGAAAGCAGCACACUGCUAAUGUGCUAGGGGAGAAAUCCUCUCGUGGGUUCGAAUCCCACCCUCUCCGCCA